rnacentral:rRNA from 1 species
AUUGAACGCUGGCGGCAGGCCUAACACAUGCAAGUCGAACGAGUGGCGGACGGGUGAGUAAUGCUUGGGAAUCUGGCUUAUGGAGGGGGAUAACGACGGGAAACUGUAGCUAAUACCGCGUACCAUAGGAUGAGCCCACGGUGGAUUAGGUAGUUGGUGGGGUAAAGGCUGACCAAGCAGACGAUCUCUAGCUGGUCUGAGAGGAUGACCAGCCACACUGGGACUGAGACACGGCCCAGACUCCUACGGGAGGCAGCAGUGGGGAAUAUUGCGCAAUGGGGGCAACCUGACGCAGCCAUGCCGCGUGAAUGAAGAAGGCUUUCGGGUUGUAAAGUUCUUUCGGUGGCGAGGCGUUAAUCACAGAAGAAGCACCGGCUAACUCCGUGCCAGCAGCCGCGGUAAUUC